UUUCGAGGGGCCCCCCAACAACAACACGUGACCCCGCCGCACGUGUCACGUCCGCUGCGUGAUUGGGAGGGGCCGGGCGCUGAGCCUCCUAGACCAAGCUGCGGUUGCCAUGGCAACCGGGAUGGUGGUAUCCACCUAGACAUCAGAAAUGCACUCUGUCCGCUUGCUUUUCUUACUGGCGCAACAGGGGACUACCCCCAGGUCCGAGGACCGAUCCCUUGCAAGAGAAAUGUCUCCGGAGAAAGGAUCCCUUGGACUGAACCUGGCCAAACACACCAGCAAUUUUAGCCUGUCUCUGUGUGACCCUCACUAUUUGUGACACUACCUGUCGCUGACUUCACUGACCUCAUCUAUAAAAUGUGCUGACACUGCCUGUGGAAUGCAGAUGGUGCAGGCUGAUCCUAGGAGGACCCAGCCUUGCACAGAUACAUGAGUGGAAAUUCUAGGAGCUGAAGAGAUCUUAUGCAUGAAGUCCAUGUGCAUUUGUGCAGUGUGUGUCCAGGAAGAUGUGGGGGAAUGCUAUGAACAACACAUAUGAAUAUAUUGAUGUUUUCCUAGAGAGAGGAAAAAAUCUUUAGCAGCCAGAAUCCUCUUUCUGAAACUUGAAUCAGACUGUAUCGCUUCCUGGAGCUUAAAGCCCUUCCUGAGACUCCCAGUGGCUCUUCUUCAUCUCAGCACAACGUCCACAACCAACAACAUGGUCCUUCGAGUUCUUUACAACCUGCUGACUUUCCCAACCUCAUCUCUUGCCUGUCUCUUGUUACUCUACGGCUGCUCCAUUCAAUCUGCUAGCCACUAGCUAUAUGUGGCUAUUUCAUUUUGUUUUUCAUUAAAAUCAGGGAGUUGGAGGUAUA